GAAUCCCAUCUUUGGCACGGACACACCAGGGCUUUUGUGAUGCGCUCUCGAAGAGUCGAGUUGUUUGGGAAUGCAGCUCAAAAUGGGUGGUGAACUCCAUCUAAAGCUAAAUAUUGGCGAGAGACCGAUAGCGAACAAGUACCGUGAGGGAAAGAUGAAAAGCACUUUGGAAAGAGAGUGAAACAGUACGUGAAAUUGUUGAAAGGGAAACGCUUGAAGUCAGUCGCGUCGACCGAGACUCAGCCUUGCCCUUGGCUUGGUGUACUUCUCGGCUGACGGGUCAGCAUCAAUUUUGCCCCUUGGAUAAUGGCGAGGGAAAUGUGACACCUUUACGGUGUGUUAUAGUCUCUUGUCGCAUGCAAGGGUUGGGAUUGAGGAACUCAGCGCGCACCUUGGUGUCGGGGCUUCUGCCCACGUCACGCGCUUAGGAUGCUGGCGUAAUGGCUUUAAACGACCCGUCUUGAAACACGGACCAAGGAGUCCAACACGCCCGCGAGUGUUCGGGUGGAAAACCCGUGCGCGUAAUUAAAGUGAAAGUUGGGACCUCUGUCGUGGAGGGCACCGACGCCCGGACCAGACCUUCUGUGACGGAUCUGCGGUAGAGCGUGUGUGUUGGGACCCGAAAGAUGGUGAACUAUGCCUGAAUAGGGUGAAGCCAGAGGAAACUCUGGUGGAGGCUCGUAGCGAUUCUGACGUGCAAAUCGAUCGUCAAAUUUGGGUAUAGGGGCGAAAGACUAAUCGAACCAUCUAGUAGCUGGUUCCUGCC
rnacentral:rRNA from 1 species